rnacentral:rRNA from 1 species
UAGGGAAUCUUCCGCAAUGGGCGAAAGCCUGACGGAGCAACGCCGCGUGAGUGAUGAAGGUCUUCGGAUCGUAAAACUCUGUUAUUAGGGAAGAACAAAUGUGUAAGUAACUAUGCACGUCUUGACGGUACCUAAUCAGAAAGCCACGGCUAACUACGUGCCAGCAGCCGCGGUAAUACGUAGGUGGCAAGCGUUAUCCGGAAUUAUUGGGCGUAAAGCGCGCGUAGGCGGUUUUUUAAGUCUGAUGUGAAGCCCACGGCUCAACCGUGGAGGGUCAUUGGAAACUGGAAAACUUGAGUGCAGAAGAGGAAAGUGGAAUUCCAUGUGUAGCGGUGAAAUGCGCAGAGAUAUGGAGGAACACCAGUGGCGAAGGCGACUUUCUGGUCUGUAACUGACGCUGAUGUGCGAAAGCGUGGGGAUCAAACAGG